UGGAAGUGGUAAGAGCACUAUCUGAUCCGCAUCCGAUCCGUUUCCACCCCUAGGGACGCUGCUCUUCCCUUCCCUCUGGCGACACCAUGGAUCUCGUCUAAGUUUAUGCUGCUCCCUCUCUUUUGUCGGAGGUGUUUGAGAACCAGAGGUGCAGCCGCGACGGCCUCACCACCGGCCAGGCGCAGCAGCACAUCCAAAUCUUUGGCCCCAACAAGCAGCUUCAGGCGAAGAAUUUUGGUGUGUGCAGCAGAGCAGGUUCUUUGGGGUUCAUGUGGGAUCCGGCCACAUGGGUCAUCAGGGACUGCCGCCAUCAUGGUCAUCGCUCCCGCCCAGCUGAAGGGUGAUGUUGGACAAACCAAGGUGCAGCCGUGACGGCCUCACCAACGGCCAAGCGCACCAGCACCUCCAAAUCUUCGGCUCCAACGAGCAGCUUCAGUACAAAGAGGUUGGUCUUGUUGUCACCAGUGCUUCUCCCAGCUUCCUGCCUCUUGUUCCCCUUUGUCGUUGGUGCCCCCAUCUCUGGAACUUCUCUCGGACAGGCGUUAAUUGGGUCUAUUCGAAGAGUAGCAGAAGAAAGCCUUUGAGCUUAGACUAGCCACAGUGGAGAGUAACAUACACUAGUAACAUACACAUAUCCCUAGAACUAUAUAACUACCUUCAUAGUGGGUAGCAACAUAAGUGUGGUAUCAUGCAAAGCUUCAUUUAUUAGGUUAUAGACUCAUAUUGCAUUGGGACAUGUGAUGUUAUAGUAACUAGCUAAGUUACUCAAACUACCUCUCUCCUCGAUGUUACUAUUGAAGUUACUCCCACUAGCUAGUCUUAUGCUCAUGGACCAAGUGCCAAAGAAUCCAGUCAUCCAGUGAGCGAGAUGUAUGCUGGGAGAGGGAGGAGCUGUGACGUGAUCUUCCCUGGCGUGGCAACACCCACUUUGCCUGUCGACCUCCCCUCGAAGGUUGGUCUUGGUGUCGUCGGUGCUUCUCCCAGCUUCCUGCCUCUGCUUCCCCUUAGUCGGCGGUGCCCCCAUCUCUGGUGCUUCUCCCGGGCCAGGUUGGUCUUAUUGUCGUCGGUGCUUCUCCUAGCUUCCUGCCUCCUCUGCUUCCCCUUUGUCGAGAGUGCCCCCAUCUCUGGUGCUUCUCCCGGCCAGCAACGGGGAGUGCAACCAUUGUAAGGAGCAAAAUUUUUCACUUGAGGGAGCAUUAUAUUCUGCUUGAAACUAUGUGACAGACGUACGCUUUGGUGAUGUCUCCCUGGCAUGGAUGGUGUUGACUGUGGCGACAUCUUCGACAUGGCUAGAUAGAUGGCUACCCAUGCCACUGUCAGGAGCAGAGUUUGUCACUCAAGGGAGCAGAACGGAAGCAUAAUUGCUAGUACCAUUUUGAGUUUUAAGUAGUUGUAUUGCUUAGAAUAUAUGAUGGUUUGCCCAAUGACACCUUGGAUUAUAGUUACUUUUUAUGUAAAAUGUCCGAUCAUAGGAGUAUACGUUCUUCAAAUCUCUGUGUUUUGUUACCUGGCAGUCUCUGAAGUGGUAAUCUGGUUGGCUCCUUUUUCGGGGAUAAAUCCCAAA